rnacentral:rRNA from 1 species
UAACGCGAAGAACCUUACCAAGGCUUGACAUAUACCGGAAACGGCCAGAGAUGGUCGCCCCCUUGUGGUCGGUAUACAGGUGGUGCAUGGCUGUCGUCAGCUCGUGUCGUGAGAUGUUGGGUUAAGUCCCGCAACGAGCGCAACCCUUGUUCUGUGUUGCCAGCAUGCCCUUCGGGGUGAUGGGGACUCACAGGAGACUGCCGGGGUCAACUCGGAGGAAGGUGGGGACGACGUCAAGUCAUCAUGCCCCUUAUGUCUUGGGCUGCACACGUGCUACAAUGGCCGGUACAAUGAGCUGCGAUGCCGUGAGGCGGAGCGAAUCUCAAAAAGCCGGUCUCAGUUCGGAUUGGGGUCUGCAACUCGACCCCAUGAAGUCGGAGUUGCUAGUAAUCGCAGAUCAGCAUUGCUGCGGUGAAUACGUUCCCGGGUCUUGUACACACCGA